rnacentral:rRNA from 2 species
AAAUUGAAGAGUUUGAUCAUGGCUCAGAUUGAACGCUGGCGGCAGGCCUAACACAUGCAAGUCGAACGGUAACAGGAAACAGCUUGCUGUUUCGCUGACGAGUGGCGGACGGGUGAGUAAUGUCUGGGAAACUGCCUGAUGGAGGGGGAUAACUACUGGAAACGGUAGCUAAUACCGCAUA